rnacentral:rRNA from 1 species
UACGGGGGGGGCAAGCGUUGUUCGGAAUUACUGGGCUUAAAGGGCGCGUAGGCGGGCUGCCAAGUUUGGGGUGAAAUCCACCGACUCAACCGGAGAAGGGCCUCGAAUACUGGCGGUCUGGAGGGAGGUAGGGGCGUGCGGAACUAACGGUGGAGCGGUGAAAUGCGUUGAUAUCGUUAGGAACUCCGGUGGCGAAGGCGGCACGCUGGACCUUUUCUGACGCUGAGGCGCGAAAGCCAGGGGAGCGAACGGG